CUUUUAUGGAGAGUUUGAUCCUGGCUCAGGACGAACGCUGGCGGCGUGCCUAAUACAUGCAAGUCGAGCGGACUUCUUCCUUCGGGGAGAGGUUAGCGGCGGACGGGUGAGUAACACGUAGGCAACCUGCCUGUAAGACCGGGAUAACAUUCGGAAACGAAUGCUAAUACCGGAUAUGCAACUUGGCUGCAUGGCCGAGUUGGGAAAGACGGCGCAAGCUGUCACUUACAGAUGGGCCUGCGGUGCAUUAGCUAGUUGGUGAGGUAACGGCUCACCAAGGCGACGAUGCAUAGCCGACCUGAGAGGGUGAUCGGCCACACUGG
rnacentral:rRNA from 1 species